rnacentral:rRNA from 1 species
AGCGAACGCUGGCGGUAGGCCUAAUACAUGCAAGUCGAACGGCAGCAUAGUAAGAGCUUGCUCUUAAGGGUGGCGAGUGGCGGACGGGUGAGGAAUUCACGGGUAUCUACUUUUCCGUGGGGCAUAACGUAGGGAAACUUACGGUAAUCUAGUAUAGCACCUUAGUGUGUAUGGAGGGGUUAUUCGUUCAUUGAGCGAUUUAAUGCGCUGACGUCGGGUUAGCUGGUGGGUGGGGUAAAGGCCGACGAAGGCGACGAUCUGUAGCUGGUUGGAGAGGAUGAUCAGCCACACGGGAACUGAGACACGGUCCAGACUCCUACGGAAGGCGGCAGUGGGGAAUAUUGGACAAUGGGCACAAGCCUAAUCCAGCCAUACCGCGUAGGGGAAGAAGGCCUUCGAGUUGUAAAGCCCUUUUGUUGGGAAAGAAAAGCAGCAGGUUAAUACCCCGCUGUUCUGACGGUACCCAAAGAAUAAGCACCGGCUAACUUCGUG